rnacentral:rRNA from 1 species
AAGUUUCAACAACGGAUCUCUUGGCUCUCGCAUCGAUGAAGAACGCAGCGAAAUGCGAUAAGUAAUGUGAAUUGCAGAAUUCAGUGAAUCAUCGAAUCUUUGAACGCACCUUGCGCUCCUUGGUAUUCCUUGGAGCAUGCCUGUUUGAGUAUUAU